CCCAUUUUUCAAUUUCACUAAAACUCUCUCUCCUCUCUCUCAAAUCCCAAUACCUCCGAGCUCUCUCCGUCACUCUCCCUAACACUCCACUCUCUCAACCCCGACUGCGCCUCCACCACUCUCUCAACAUCCAUGCUUGCUCUCUGCCUCUCCCUCAACCUUGUCGUCACUGUUUCUCGCAUACCCAGACCCACAAAGAAAAAACGGCGGCUCACCAUUUGAGAUCCCGACCCCCAAACACUCGCACCUUUUUAGACCCAGAUUAGAGAGAGUAAGGAUUGGGGUUUGGAGAGAAUCGGGUGUUUAACUGAGAAUUUGAUGUCUUUCGUUUCCUAUUUUCAAAAAAGCUUGAGAAAAUAAGGGUGUUUUCUAAAAAAUUUCUUGUGCUUAUCGCCCAACUUGUCUGAAGUGUGCCGCUACUGAUCCAUCGCGUUCUCUCUCCACCCAUCACCACUGGUUUGAUCCAUGAAGGGAUAUGAGAUUGAGAGAGAAAGAAAGAGAGUUUGGUCGAAGGAGAGAAGAAGCCACCAUCGGAGGUGGUGGUUGUGAUGAGCUAGCCUUGCCGAUUUGGGCUUGUUUCAAAGAGAGACCACCACUCGUUGGCAUCAAUGCAGUAUUCAUGAAGACAUACAUUGGAAAAGUUUCAUGCCCAUACAUCUGUGGGAAGCAAUUGGAUCAUGGGGUGCUUCUAGUGGGGUAUGGUUCUGCUAGUUAUGCUACUAUCCGUUUCAAGGAAAAGCCAUUCUGGAUCUUAAAGAACUCUUGGGGAGAAAAUUGGGGAGAGAAUGGAUAUUAGAAGAUUUGUAGGGGUCGUAACGUAUGCAGAGUGGGGUUUUGUUCAUGACUCAUCUAUUUUAGUUGGGAUCAUAAUCAAGAUGUAGCUAUUUUGGCUUUCUUGAAACACUGAAAUCACAUAUUUAUAUUGUGAAGCUAAUUUAGCUAAGCUAUAAAGCCUUUUUGUUUUAGGUUUUGUUCA